CCUACGGGAGGCAGCAGUGGGGAAUAUUGGGCAAUGGGCGCAAGCCUGACCCAGCAACGCCGCGUGAAGGAAGAAGGCUUUCGGGUUGUAAACUUCUUUUGUCAGGGACGAAGCAAGUGACGGUACCUGACGAAUAAGGUACGGCUAACUACGUGCCAGCAGCCGCGGGAAUACGUAGGUGGCAAGCGUUAUCCGGAUUUACUGGGUGUAAAGGGCGUGUAGGCGGGACUGCAAGUCAGAUGUGAAAACCACGGGCUCAACCUGUGGCCAGCCUUUGAAACUGUAGUUCUUGAGUACUGGAGAGGCAGACGGAAUGCCUAGUGUAGCGGUGAAAUGCGUAGAUAUUAGGCAGAACCCCAGUGGCGAAGGCGGUCUGCUGGACAGCAACUGACGCUGAGGCGCGAAAGCGUGGGGAGCAAACAGGAUUAGAUACCCCAGUAGUC
rnacentral:rRNA from 1 species